CCUACGGGAGGCAGCAGUGGGGAAUAUUGCGCAAUGGGCGAAAGCCUGACGCAGCAACGCCGCGUGAGGGAUGACGGCCUUCGGGUUGUAAACCUCUUUCAGCAGGGAAGAAGCGAAAGUGACGGUACCUGCAGAAGAAGCACCGGCUAACUACGUGCCAGCAGCCGCGGUAAUACGUAGGGUGCAAGCGUUGUCCGGAUUUAUUGGGCGUAAAGAGCUCGUAGGCGGUUAGUCACGUCGGAUGUGAAAUCCCGGAGCUUAACUCCGGGCCUGCAUUCGAUACGGGCUGACUCGAGUAUUGUAGGGGAGACUGGAACUCCUGGUGUAGCGGUGAAAUGCGCAGAUAUCAGGAAGAACACCGGUGGCGAAGGCGGGUCUCUGGGCAAUUACUGACGCUGAGGAGCGAAAGCGUGGGGAGCAAACAGGAUUAGAUACCCUGGUAGUCCACGCCGUAAACGGUGGGCGCUAGGUGUGGGGACCCUUCCACGGUCUCCGUGCCGCAGCUAACGCAUUAAGCGCCCCGCCUGGGGAGUACGGCCGCAAGGCUAAAACUCAAAGAGUAGUACGGCGUCGAGAGACGCGACGACGACGACGACGGAGGAGGAG
rnacentral:rRNA from 1 species